rnacentral:lncRNA from 1 species
GCCGGAGACGUGGAGGGAAGCGGGCGUCAUCAGGCCGCGCCGUCGCGCGACGGUCGCGACGAGAUGACGCCCACUUGGCGCUUGAGUAGUCAUGGAGACUGGGCCCCGCAGGCGCGUCUCCUUGAGACUGAUUCCGCAAGGGCUGCUGGGAAAAAUAGUGAAGCGUUAAUGGGCGGCUUCCAUAGCCAGGAGUCGGACGUGGUUGGUAACAAGAGAUGCUUGCUUCUGAAUCUCACUUUCAAAUGGAGCCAAGCUUGUUGAAGAGAACGUUAAUUAACUAAUUAAUUAAAAAAAAUUCAGCCCUCACCCUCUUCCGUGCGAACUAUUCAGGGCAUCCCUACCUGAGAUACAGACAAGCCUUGCUCAGCAUAACAGCAGGAGGUUUUCCCCCACAACUAGGCUAAAGCGUUUCCACAAAGAAGACUUUUGGCUCCUGUGCAAAUUCGCCUUGGAGCUGCUGAUUUAUUCAGGCAGUUGNUGGGCCUUUUUUUUUUGGAACAGUCUUUCCGGCAGUGCUGCGAAGGAGAUUCCCUUGGGAGGCUGCAACGGGCUCAAGAUUGGCUCAUGGAGUGCGAUCGAAUUUGACCCCCGGGGUCUCAGCCCAGGUGCAGAACACCAAAGACUGGACCAGAACAAGACAACUUGGGAUGGUUGUAGUUCUCUUCAAACAGCUAAUCUGGGAUAAGGAUCCCUUGGAGUGGCUCUGGACUGAGAGGGCCUGUUCGCACUUACCUGACCAUUAUACCAUACAGGCAGGUGAGGUUGAAGCAUGGUGGGUGCCAUUUGCAGUGUGUGCACUGGACCAACCUCAUACCUGNCUAGCAACGCAAACGGGCUAGCUGGAUCGCCACAGUGAAGUCCAAACCAGCAUCCAGUGCUCGGUCAGAUGUUGCCAUGGUGAUCUGGAUGGUGUGAAUGACUGCGCAGCCACNGUUGCGUAGNCCACACCUCCUUGUCGUGCCAUACCUGGAAGUGUGGAACCACCUUCUCNGGAGCAAUCCAGCUGGGUCACUCCUGGGAGGGGUUAGGCAACGCCAGGUGAACUGUGGCAGCGUUGUGCGUGGAUGGGCCUGACCAGCGAGAGGAUUGGAGUGCUCCAGUUGGUAAGUGCAAACAAGCCUAGAUAAAGUGCGCCAAGGAGGCCUCUAGGGUCUAGACCCUUCUUAUCACAGGACAGUGUCCCAGGCAGAAAGGAUCCCACUGUAACAACACUGGAUGCAGUUUUCAGCAGGCACAGAAUGAGUUUGCCAUUCUGUAUUUCUGGGGAGAUGCUGGGUUAUCAGCAGCAACCAGUGAGGCAGAUCACCAAUGAAAGUCCCUCCGCCCGCCCCCCGGCAUUCCUUAGCAGGCUUGCUGCAAAUCAGGUUGUUUCUGAAGCAGCUUAAACACUUUAAAAAGCUUGCCAACAAACAAGGUGUGUUUGGGGAAAUCUGUUUGCAAACACUAGGGAUGUGCACACAAAAAAAUCAUUUUUGAUUCAUUUUCGAGUGAAAAUCUGCAUUUUUGCUUCAUCGGCGAAUUUCGUUGUCAAAAAAAUGCAUUCAUUUUUGCAUUUUUCACAGUGUUCUCCCAUUGACAAUGCCAUUGAAAAUACCACUUUCAGGGUUUAAACACAGCGAAAAAUGCAAAAAAUUGACAAAUUUCGUUUUCACAAAAGAAGUAACUUUUUCGUUUUCAAUUGAAAAUGUAAAUGCAAAGAAACUCAUUUUCGUUUCAAUGCAAAAAUUUGUGAAAAUGAAAUUUCGUAUGAACUUUUGAAUGCAAAUUGAAAUUUGCACACCCCUAGGAAACACCCCUCACCCAGUAAUUGCUGUUGAGGAUUAAACCAGUGACCCUCUGCUCUAACAUAGGGCACAUCCACUCCAGCAGUAAACCUAUUGAAAUACAAAAACCUUCUUGAUAUUUACCUAAAAUUUUAAAACACCAAGCCUCAAAAUGGCAAAGGCUUUGGUUUUAUGUGGAGACAUGGAACAUUCAGGUAUUAUUAUGCACAGAAAUAAAAUCAAAGGAAAUCACUGUUUUUAUUUAAUU